rnacentral:rRNA from 1 species
CCUACGGGACGCAGCAGUGGGGAAUAUUGGGCAAUGGGCGCAAGCCUGACCCAGCAACGCCGCGUGAAGGAAGAAGGCUUUCGGGUUGUAAACUUCUUUUCUCAGGGACGAAGAAAGUGACGGUACCUGAGGAAUAAGCCACGGCUAACUACGUGCCAGCAGCCGCGGUAAUACGUAGGUGGCAAGCGUUAUCCGGAUUUACUGGGUGUAAAGGGCGUGUAGGCGGGACUGCAAGUCAGAUGUGAAAACCACGGGCCCAACCUGUGGCCUGCAUUUGAAACUGUAGCUCUUUAGUACUGGAGAGG